rnacentral:lncRNA from 13 species
ACAGGAAAAAAAAAAAGAAACAUUCACAAAGUAGUUCUCUCUAUUGUUUCUGUACUGCAGAAAUCAUGCUAAAUCUAUUCAUUGUAUGCACUACAUGACAUCAUUCUAGAAAAACAGCAAAAUAGCUGGAAACCAAAGACGGGGAAUAAAAACGUCAACCAUCUGCCCAUUGAUCUGCAGCACCCUGGUGUCAGACCAGGCCUCCUCCCUUCAGCUCUCAGUUUUCUGUGCCAGUUAUGGAGGAGCCAAAACUAAUGCAGUUCCAUCUCUCCUUAAUGGGCAGAAGAGCUACACUGUUUCUGCUGCACCUAGAGAUAAAACUAUUGGUUUUGGAGUACCAUCACUGAGUCCAGGUCUCAUAACUUUUUUUUUUUUUUUUUCUGAGAUGGAGUUUCGCUCUUGUUACCCAGUCUGGAGUACAGUGGCGCGAUCUCGGCUCACUGCAACCUCCGCCUCCUGGGUUCAGGCAAUUCUCCCGCCUCAGCCUCCUGAGUAGCUGGGAUUACAGGCACACGCCACCAUGCCCAGCUAAUUUCUUGUAUUUUUAGUAGAGACAGGGUUUCACCAUGUUGACCAGGAUGGUCUCAAUCUCUUGACCUGGUGAUCCACCCCCCUCGGCCUCCCAAAGUGCUGGGAUUAAAGGCUUGAGCCACCACGCCUGGCCCAUAACUUAAAAAAAAAUUACUAAAUUAAGGGGAAUAGAAGCAGUGAAAGUCAGAGUAAAUAUGGGGUUCAAAGUUGCAAGCAAUUCACUUUCUCUAAACGUGACUGCUCAUUUGUUUUUGAAAAAGCUACCCAAACCAGCACUUUAAAUAUUAGAACACAGACUUCAAACAUGAACUUUUUUAUGGGAAGGUGGAGAGAGUAUUAUUAACCUGAAUGCAGAUAUUUUAGAAUGACACAUUUGGUGCUCUCUUUAGUAAUACAAAUUUUUUUAGGUAAGCUUGAGAAACAUAGCGAGACCUGGUCUCUACUAAAAAAAAAAAAAAAAAAGGAAGAAAAGAAAAAAUUAGCAGGGCAUGGUGGCAUGUACCCACGGUCCCAGCUACACAGGAGACAGGGAGGAAGAUCCCU